rnacentral:lncRNA from 1 species
UCCAGGUUGCUUGCUUGGAAGUCUAAUUGCUUACCUUGUCUGUUACCUCCUUCGAAAAAUCUCCUAGCUGAAGGAAUAUUUAGUGAAAACAUGUUCAUUUAAGCAACAUCUAUAAGCAUGCAAUUAACAAUUAAAGGCGGAACCAUGCUUGCAUGCACUUAAAAACAAAACAUUAACCAAGAAAUUCAAAGCCUAGUAGAUUGGUGAACCAAGAAUCAACUCAAAACAAAGUGAGUUGAAAUUUAUACCUUUGUAGAUUCCUCUUUGCAUAAGCAAAGGCUAAUCACCCAAAGAGAGGGACUUCAUUCCUUGCAUCUAAAUCUAUGGAUUUGGAUGGAUGAAAAGGUUUCUCCAAGUUCCCAAAAUUGAGAACCUCUAAG